CUCUUGUUUGUUCACUGCGGGUAAAGUUUAGUGGACAAAGUGCAAU
rnacentral:tRNA from 1 species